UACGUAGGGUGCAAGCGUUGUCCGGAAUUAUUGGGCGUAAAGAGCUCGUAGGCGGUCUGUCGCGUCGGCUGUGAAAUCCCGAGGCUCAACCUCGGGUCUGCAGUCGAUACGGGCAAACUAGAGUAUUGCAGGGGAGACUGGAAUUCCUGGUGUAGCGGUGAAAUGCGCAGAUAUCAGGAGGAACGCCGGUGGCGAAAGCGACUGUCUGGGGUGCCUGUGACGCUGAGGCGCGAAAGCCAGGGGAUCAAACGGG
rnacentral:rRNA from 1 species